GACGAACGCUGGCGGCGUGCUUAACACAUGCAAGUCGAGCGGUAAGGCCCCUUCGGGGGUACACGAUCGGCGAACGGGUGAGUAACACGUGAGCAAUCUGCCUAUCACAUCGGGAUAACUCCGGGAAACCGAAGCUAAUACCGAAUACGACCACCCCCGGCCUCGGUUGUUGGUGGAAAGUUCCGGCGGCGAUGGAUGAGCUCGCGGCCUAUCAGCUUGUUGGUGGGGUAACGGCCCACCAAGGCUUCGACGGGUAGCCGGCCUGAGAGGGUGACCGGCCACACUGGGACUGAGACACGGCCCAGACUCCUACGGGAGGCAGCAGUGGGGAAUAUUGGACAAUGGGCGGAAGCCUGAUCCAGCAACGCCGCGUGAGGGAUGACGGCCUUCGGGUUGUAAACCUCUUUCAGCAGGGACGAAGCGCAAGUGACGGUAACUGCAGAAGAAGCACCGGCCAACUACGUG
rnacentral:rRNA from 1 species